GGCCGGUUAGCUCAAUUGGUUAGAGCGUCGUGCUAAUAACGCGAAUGUCGCGGGUUCGAUCCCUGUACUGGCCA
rnacentral:tRNA from 1 species